GUUAGUGGCGCACGGGUGCGUAACGCGUGGGAAUCUGCCCCUUGCUUCGGAAUAACAGUUAGAAAUGACUGCUAAUACCGGAUGAUGACUUCGGUCCAAAGAUUUAUCGGCAAGGGAUGAGCCCGCGUAGGAUUAGGUAGUUGGUGGGGUAAAGGCCUACCAAGCCGACGAUCCUUAGCUGGUCUGAGAGGAUGAUCAGCCACACUGGGACUGAGACACGGCCCAGACUCCUACGGGAGGCAGCAGUGGGGAAUAUUGCACAAUGGGCGAAAGCCUGAUGCAGCAACGCCGCGUGAGGGACGACGGCCUUCGGGUUGUAAACCUCUUUUAGUAGGGAAGAAGCGAAAGUGACGGUACCUGCAGAAAAAGCACCGGCUAACUACGUGCCAGCAGCCGCGGUAAUACGUAGGGUGCAAGCGUUGUCCGGAAUUAUUGGGCGUAAAGAGCUCGUAGGCGG
rnacentral:rRNA from 1 species